GGUUUGGUUGUGCAGAUCUAAAGGAGUGCAGAGAGAGAGAGAGAGAGGGUCGAAAUGGCCGUGAGCAUUGUUCUCUCUCACAUCUCGGCUCUGCUGGUGGCAGUUCUCGUCCUCCUGUGGGCGCUCGCCUUCCGCACCACCAUCUUUCUGCGCUUCUAUUCCUCAUCCGUCGACGGCGGCGCCACCGCCACCGCCACCGCCGUUGCGCCCUUCGACCACAUAUACUUUGUCCUCCACACUCUCCUCAUGGUCAUCGGCUUCAUCCUCUUCGGCGGCGAAGGUAUACUGGCGCACAGGUGGGGGGUGGGCUUGGGUUGGGCACGGGGCCCGAGGAAGGCAGCGCACCUCUGGCUGCAGGGGGCGGCUCUGGGUUUCGGCGUCGCCGGGGUGUGGACCAAGUUCAAGGGCAACAAGGGGGUCCUCGCCAACUUCCACAGCCUGCACUCCUGGAUGGGUCUGCUCUGCCUUCUCCUCUUCGCCGCCCAGUGGACAAUGGGGUUCCUCAGCUUCUGGACCAGGGGAGAGGGACGACGGGCAAGAACAUUGUUGCUGCCGUGGCACAUCUUCAUUGGCAUCUUCACCUACAGUUUGGCUGUAGCUACGGCAGAGUCUGGCCUCAUGGAGAAGAUGGCCUUCCUUCACACCAAACAUGGCAUCCCAGGGUCCUCCUUGGAGUUCACCCUCAUCAAUGUUCUUGGCCUCACUCUCGCCAUCCACUGUGGGCUUGUUGUCUUCACUUUAAUCCCUGCGAAGCACAAGGAGAGCAGCACCAGUACCAUGAUGAUGGGUCUUGGGGAUCGAUUUUUAUGUCUUGAAGUUCUUUAAGCAAAUCACAGUAAUGAACAAGGACUUACAAUGUCAAUGUUCACGUUGUUUGCAUCCUUUUCAAUGUUCAAUAUGGAAUCUAUUCUUGGUUUUGGAAUCCACAGCCAAAAUCUAGAGGCAACAGGUUCUUAUUCUGCCCAACCCACUUGAAAGUUAAAGGUAGAGGGAAAGGUGAAGUGUGGAUUCCUUCCUUGAGACCUGUUCAAUUCUUUUGACUCUUAUCCCAAACUCAUUGGAGUCAGAGAAGCUCCUGCAUCUGGACCAAGAACACCCAAGCAACAACAAGGAUCGGCUAUGGUGUGAGUGGUGUUCAACGCUUGUCGCUGUAGAUGGCCUACCGAAUCCUAGAAUGAAGCACAGAAAGGGAGCAAAAAAGUGAGGAAGAACAAGAUCAAUGAAUUUUGACCGUGUUUCUGAUUCCAUCCAUCAAGCUGCCCACCGUGAUGGUGAAGACCUUUGAAUGAGUGAUCUGCUCAUGAUAAAACUUAACAGAAGGAGAGCGAGUUGCUGCUCAUCAUCAUUCAUGUAGUCUCGCAGUUUGACUGGUGCAAUGCUGAUACUGCAUGUUCAAAUACUGAUUUCACUGAAAUCAACUUGAAUAGCUCUUCUUUCUUUUUGAGAUAAGAAUCUGAAUAAAGAAUUUAUUCAGAUCUUUCUGUUCAGUGGAUUUGGUUAAAUACUGACAAAUAUAAGUGUAUGUUCAAAAGAGUUCAUUUUG